rnacentral:rRNA from 1 species
CACGUAGGGGGCAAGCGUUGUCCGGAUUUAUUGGGCGUAAAGAGCUCGUAGGCGGCUAUGUAAGUCGGGUGUUAAAUCCCCCAGGCUCAACCUGGGACACCACCCGAUACUGCAUUGGCUAGAGUCCGGUAGGGGAGCGUGGAAUUCCUGGUGUAGCGGUGAAAUGCGCAGAUAUCAGGAGGAACACCAGCGGCGAAGGCGGCGCUCUGGGCCGGAACUGACGCUGAGGAGCGGAAAGCGUGGGUAGCAAACAGG